UACCUUCCCUAAAACCAUUUGCCAAAGAAGAAAACCAACAAAACCCCUCAUUCUCUCUCUUCCUCGCCCGACUCCAUCUCCUCCUCUUCUCUUCGGGUGCUCUCUCCUCCUCACUCCACUACAACGUUGCACCACCGCACCGCGCCACUUCUCCUCUGCCUUCUCUUUUCUCCGGUCGCCACUGAUGCGGUUGUUGUUGUUGUGUUGUCGCUCCUUCCUCCUCGGUUUCCUCUCCUCACUUGCGGCCGUCGAUAGUGGUCAUGGUUCCACCAAAUACUAUUCGCCAUUUCUAAUUGGUAAUCUUUCAAACCUAUUCCAUUAAUUGAUUGAGUUGAUUUAAAUUCCCUAUUGAGUAAACCCUAACUUUCUCUUUCACUUUCUCUGGUUCACGCCACUACCCACGGCCCUCUUGUUUUUUCGAGCACCGCCCCUCUCCGUAGGUGUUACAAUUGCGUUGGUGAUGUUGUCUUGGUGGUGUUGUUGUUGUCGUAUUCUUCCUUCUCUGCUUUGUCUGUCUUCCUCAAGUUGCUUCCUCAAGUUGCUGCUGAUGUUGCCAUUUCAAUUGUUGAUUUGCUACUGCUCUUAUUGUAUUCAUCCUCUGCUCUCACAAUUGCUCUCAUGGCACCAACGCAGCCAAGCCACACACGCAGCACUGCCCAUAGCUGCUGACCAUGGCACCCAUCGCAGCAUCAUCGUAGCAGCACAGUCACAGCAAUGCACGAGCUGCCACUGCAACAGCCUUGUGCUCUCUUUAGGCCAUCUUUGUAGCAGCUUUGUGCUCACUAACAUGGGUUGAUGGGAUAUCUGGAUAUUCUGAUGAGCUUUGAGUGGUUAUUGAGAAAUUGUCCAUUGGGUUGAUGCAUGAAGUGAUUGAAUGUUUGUUUAAUCUGCAUGCUUAUCUUGGUAGAGUUAUUAUGGUGUUUUGAUUGAUUGCAUAAAAUUAUAGUCUUGCAACAAUGAGAAAGUAUGACGCCAUUUAUUUAUUGAUGUUAGAUGGUGUUAAUAAUAAUGAUUAAUGAAGUUCAAUUAAAAGCAGUUAAUUUGUAUUAA